rnacentral:rRNA from 1 species
GCUGGCGGCAGGCCUACACAUGCAAGUCGAGCGGAUGACGGGAGCUUGCUCCUUGAUUCAGCGGCGGACGGGUGAGUAAUGCCUAGGAAUCUGCCUGGUAGUGGGGGACAACGUUUCGAAAGGAACGCUAAUACCGCAUACGUCCUACGGGAGAAAGCAGGGGACCUUCGGGCCUUGCGCUAUCAGAUGAGCCUAGGUCGGAUUAGCUAGUUGGUGGGGUAAUGGCUCACCAAGGCGACGAUCCGUAACUGGUCUGAGAGGAUGAUCAGUCACACUGGAACUGAGACACGGUCCAGACUCCUACGGGAGGCAGCAGUGGGGAAUAUUGGACAAUGGGCGAAAGCCUGAUCCAGCCAUGCCGCGUGUGUGAAGAAGGUCUUCGGAUUGUAAAGCACUUUAAGUUGG